rnacentral:rRNA from 1 species
UACGUAGGGACCGAGCGUUGUCCGGAUUCAUUGGGCGUAAAGAGCUCGUAGGCGGCUGUUCAAGUCGAACGUGAAAACUCGGAGCUCAACUCCGAGCCUGCGUUCGAUACUGGAUGGCUAGAGUGUGGCAGAGGGGGGUGGAAUUCCAGGUGUAGCAGUGAAAUGCGUAGAGAUCUGGAGGAACACCGAUGGCGAAGGCAGCCCCCUGGGCUAACACUGACGCUCAUGCACGAAAGCGUGGGGAGCAAACAGG